GCUUGUUUAGCUCAGCGGUAAGAUCACCAAAAGGCAAAAUAUUCAUAGAAAAACAUCUGACAUAUAUCGUAGGCAGAGCGAGAGAUUGCAGUGCGCAGUCAUCUCUAGGUCCAUCGUUCGAAUCGGUGAACAAGCU
rnacentral:tRNA from 1 species